rnacentral:rRNA from 1 species
AGAGUGAACGCUGGCGGUAGGCCUAACACAUGCAAGUCGAACGGCAGCACAGUAGGAGCUUGCUCUUACGGGUGGCGAGUGGCGGACGGGUGAGGAAUACAUCGGAAUCUACCUUUUGGUGGGGGGAUUAACGUAGGGAAACUUACGCUAAUACCGCAUACGCCCUUCGGGGGAAAGCCGGGGACCAGCAAUGGCCUGGCGCUGAUAGAUGAGCCGAUGUCGGAUUAGCUAGUUGGUGAGGUAAUGGCUCACCGAAGGCGACGAUCCCGUAGCUGGUCUGAGAGGAUGAUCAGCCACACUGGAACUGAGACACGUCCAGUACUACCGUACGGGAGGCAGCGAGUAGGGAAUAGUAGGACAGUGGCGCAACGCCUAGA